rnacentral:snRNA from 1 species
GUGCUCACUUUGGAAACACAUAUACUAAAAUUGAA